GACGAACGCUGGCGGCGUGCCUAACACAUGCAAGUCGAGCGAGUGAAUCUCCUUCGGGAGUGAAGCUAGCGGCGGACGGGUGAGUAACACGUGGGCAACCUACCUCAUAGAGGGGAAUAGCCUUUCGAAAGGAAGAUUAAUACCGCAUAAGAUUGUAGCUUCGCAUGAAGUAGCAAUUAAAGGAGCAAUCCGCUAUGAGAUGGGCCCGCGGCGCCUUAGCUAGGUGGUGAGGUAACGGCUCACCAAGGCGACGAUGCGUAGCCGACCUGGGAGGGAGAUAGGCCACAUUGGGACUGAGACACGGCCCAGACUCCUACGGGAGGCAGCAGUGGGGAAUAUUGCACAAUGGGGGAAACCCUGAUGCAGCAACGCCGCGUGAGUGAUGACGGCCUUCGGGUUGUAAAGCUCUGUCUUCAGGGACGAUAAUGACGGUACCUGAGGAGGAAGCCACGGCUAACUACGUGCCAGCCGCCGCCGUAA
rnacentral:rRNA from 1 species